rnacentral:tRNA from 1 species
GCCUGGGUGGCUCAGUUGGUUAAGCAUCUGACUUUGGCUCAGGUCAUGAUCUCAUAGUAUGUGGGUUUGAGCCCCACACCAGGCU